rnacentral:rRNA from 1 species
UACGAAGGGGGCAAGCGUUGUUCGGAAUCACUGGGCUUAAAGCGCGUGUAGGCGGCGCGAUAAGUGUUCUGUGAAAUCCCACGGCUCACCCGUGGAACUGCAGGGCAUACUGUCGUGCUUGAGGCAGGUAGGGGCCACUGGAACUCUCGGUGGAACGGUGAAAUGUGUAGAUAUCGAGAGGAACGCCCGAGGCGAAAGCGGGUGGCUGGGCCUGUCCUGACGCUGAGACGCGAAAGCGUGGGGAGCAAACGGG